GAACACAGAGAUGCUGGCUGCCGCCUGUGCCGUGGGGGUGGGCUGCUGCUUCGCGGCACCUAUUGGAGGCGUCCUCUUCAGCAUCGAGGUCACCUCCACCUUCUUUGCAGUGCGGAACUACUGGCGGGGCUUCUUCGCUGCCACCUUCAGUGCCUUCAUCUUCCGGGUCUUGGCAGUCUGGAACCGGGAUGAAGAGACUAUUACAGCCCUCUUCAAAACCCGAUUCCGGCUCGACUUCCCCUUUGACCUGCAGGAGCUGCCAGCCUUUGCUGUCAUUGGUAUUGCUAGUGGCUUCGGUGGAGCCCUCUUUGUCUACCUGAACCGGAAGAUUGUCCAGGUGAUGCGGAAGCAGAAAACCAUCAAUCGCUUCCUCAUGAGGAACCUUGGGGCUAUCGUAUCAUAAACAG
rnacentral:sRNA from 1 species